GUAAUACGCUUAGAGAGCCCUAGGAACGUUACAUCUGAAUCCUUCGGUAGCCAAAAAUGGAGGAAAACUCCAGAAAUAAUUCUUCAAGAAUAUACACUAACGAUUUUGGUCAGAUUAUUUCAUCCGACCCAAAUUCAAAUUCAUCUUGUGAAGAUUCCGGUGAUGUGCUAUCGCCGGAUCCCAUCUCUUGUGCUCUGCCGGCAAGAUUAAUGGAGCCUCAGGUCAACAAACGAUAGCAGUGGCAUUUAAUUCCUAGUGUUGUUCCCAUAUUAAUACCAUUGCACAUAUGUUCUUUCGAAGUUUUAAAGUGCGAAGGUGUUGGAAUUCCUUGCUAGUUUUUUCCAGUUGUAGCUUCUAAUAGCGGAUUUGGCGAUAAUGA